GUGAGGGGUAGAGUAGACUGUAGGUAUGACAGGGGAACAGAGUGAGGGGUAGAGUAGACUGUAGGUAUGACAGGUAAACAGAGUGAGAUUUAGAGUAGACUGUAGGCAUGACAGGGAAACAGAGUGAGGGGUAGAGUAGACUGUAGGUAUGACAGGGGAACAGAGUGAGGGGGAGAGUAGACUGUAGGUAUGACAGGUAAACAGAGUGGGGGGUAGAGUAGACUGUAGGUAUGACAGGGAAACAGAGUGAGCUGUAGAGUAGACUGUAUGUAUGGCAGGGGAACAGAGUGGGGGGUAGAGUAGACUGUAUGUAUGACAGGGGAACAGAGUGAGAGGUAGAGUAGACUGUAGGUAUGACAGGGAAACAGAGUGAGGGGUAGAGUAGACUGUAGGUAUGACAGGGGAACAGAGUGAGAGGUAGAGUAGACUGUAGGUAUGACAGGUAAACAGAGUGAAAGGUAGAGUAGACUGUAGGUAUGACAGGGAAACAGAGUGAGGGGUAGAGUAGACUGUAGGUAUGACAGGGGAACAGAGUGAGAGGUAGAGUAGACUGUAGGUAUGACAGGUAAACAGAGUGAGAGGUAGAGUAGACUGUAGGUAUGACAGGGAAACAGAGUGAGAGGUAGAGUAGACUGUAUGUAUGGCAGGGGAACAGAGUGGGGGGUAGAGUAGACUGUAGGUAUGACAGGUAAACAGAGUGAGGGGUAGAGUAGACUGUAGGUAUGACAGGUAAACAGAGUGAGAGGUAGAGUAGACUAUAGGUAUGACAGGUAAACAGAGUGAGAGGCAGAGUAGACUGUAAGUAUGACAGGGGGACAGAGUGAGGGGUAGACUAGACUGUAUGUAUGACAGGGAAACAGAGUGAGAGGUAGAGUAGACUGUAGGUAUGACAGGGAAACAGAGUGAGGUGUAGAGUAGACUGUAUGUAUGGCAGGGGAACAGAGUGGGGGGUAGAGUAGACUGUAUGUAUGACAGGGGAACAGAGUGAGGGGUAGAGUAGACUGUAGGUAUGACAGGGGAACAGAGUGAGGGGUAGAGUAGACUGUAGGUAUGACAGGUAAACAGAGUGAGAUUUAGAGUAGACUGUAGGCAUGACAGGGAAACAGAGUGAGGGGUAGAGUAGACUGUAGGUAUGACAGGGGAACAGAG